rnacentral:rRNA from 1 species
AUAACAGGAAGAAACUCCUGCUAAUACCGCAUAGCCAUGAGCACCGCAUGGAGCUCAUGCCAAAUAUCCUUUAUGGGAUAGCGCAGGGAUGGACCUAUGGCGCAUUAGCUGGUUGGCGGGGCAACGGCCCACCAAGGCAACGAUGCGUAGCCGGCCUGAGUGGGCGGACGGCCACAUUGGGACUGAGACACGGCCCAGACUCCUACGGGAGGCAGCAGUAGGGAAUUUUCGGCAAUGGGGGAAACCCUGACCGAGCAACGCCGCGUGAGCGAAGAAGGGCUUCGGGUCGUAAAGCUCUGUUGUAAAGGAAGAACGGCGCAUACAGGAAAUGGUAUGCGAGUGACGGUACUUUACCAGAAAGCCACGGCUAACUACGUGCCAGCAGCCGCGGUAAUACGUAGGUGGCGAGCGUUAUCCGGAAUCAUUGGGCGUAAAGAGGGAGCAGGCGGCCGCAAGGGUCUGUGGUGAAAGACCGAAGCUAAACUUCGGUAAGCCAUGGAAACCGGGCGGCUAGAGUGCGGAAGAGGAUCGUGGAAUUCCAUGUGUAGCGGUGAAAUGCGUAGAUAUAUGGAGGAACACCAGUGGCGAAGGCGACGGGUCUGGGCCGCAACUGACGCUCAUCCC